rnacentral:lncRNA from 1 species
UUACAGUGUCAAAACAAUUUUUAAAUUUUAUUCAUAAUAUAUAGAUACAGUGCUGUAAAUGCUAGGUGUUACAGGCAUUUUUCAAACAUUAACUCCUUUAGUACUCCCCAUGGCCUUACAAAGUAGGUACGCUUAUCAUUACUGUCAACUGACAGAUGAAGAAACUGAGGUACCAACAAGGUAAGUAACUUGAUCAAUACAAAUAACCAGUAAGCGAUUGAGUUGGAGUUUGAACAUAAGAUGUCGGCUCAUAUUCUAUGCUCUUAACCAUGAUAUUUAAUCUCUAAAGACUUCACAUCAUGAAAAAAUUGGAUCAAUUUAUCCAUUUUCUUGAUAUAUCCCAUAGCCACACUAUUUUGUCUGAAUAAUACCUAUAGAGAAACUAUUGUACAUACACACCCAAAUUACUUCUGCCAGCAUCCCCACUUCCUAAAAGUUAAUACAGAGAACAUUUCAAAACAUUUCUUGUCCUGGCUGGGAGGACUCUGAGAAAAUCUCAUUGUUCAUCUAAUUAGCCAAGGGCUGGCUGGGAGUUGGGUCUCAGGGGAAAGGUGACCUCAGGAGAACCACUGAAUUACCAAAUUGCUGGGAGGAUCUCAGCAGUAACUGAAUUCAGGAUCUGGUGGUGUUUCAACCUGGGUGCCUGGUGUAACCAGGAUUUGCAUCUGCUUCAGACAAAGCAGACAGCCCUUCCUCAUGGACUCAACUUUAUCUAAAUGUGAUCAAGACAAAAGAAAUAAUGUCAUGCACCUCUGGAUGUGAGACUGUGCUGGGAGGUUCUGAAAGGCCUCACUGAGGUGAUUAUUUGCUGUAGCCAGAAUGACAAGUGUAAGCCACCCUUGCCUAUAUCUGGGAACAGUUAGCAUGUCAGGGAGAAGGUACCCCUGGUGCAGAGAUUCACAGGAAGAAGUGAGUUUGACCAGAGGAGGUCAGAAAGGUGGCAGGUGUGGCUGGAGGGAGCCUGAGAAGAGAGAGGAGGGUGAGAGGGCCAGAUCGUGGGACAUGGUGGACUGUGUUAGUUUCUGUUCCUCUAUGACAACAUUGCUCCAAAACCUUCCACCCAUAAGGAACAAACAGUUAACAUCCUGCACUUUCUGUGGGCCAGGCAUCAGGCAGAGCUUAGCUGGGUGCCUCAGCUUCAAAUUCUCUAUGAAGCAGGGGCUGCAGUCUCAACAGGGCUCAACUGGGGGAGGACUCCCACCCAAGAUCGCUGACAUGGGUGUUGUCAGGAUUCAUCUGGACUGAGAGUCUGAGUUCCUGCCUGUCUGUUGGCUGGGCACCCCCUCAGUUCUCUCCUAUGGAGCCUCUACACAGGGCAACUGAAAGCAUCGGUGCUUGCUCUCUCAGUUCCAGAGAUAAGACAGAGAGAGAGCUGCAAACAGGAGAGGAGGAGGGAACCCAAGAAUGCCUGUAAGAAGGAAGUGACAGGCUCUUCGUAAUUAAAACUUGGAAGUGACAUCCCAUCACCUUGGGGCAUUCUGUUGAUCAGAAGCCAGUUACUAACCACUUAGCUGUCACAUAAGGACGUGCACUCCAGGAGGCAGGGAGCACUGGGAGCCAUUGUGGAGGCUGCCCCACACACAGGCCGACAUGAGGCACUUGGGUCUGAUUCUAAGUAAAACAGGAGACCAUGGGAAACUUUUGCCAGUGGAUCACAAUAUAUGAAUUUCUUCUAAUUUCAACCCCUGAAAAGUGCAGACCUGAAAAUGAGGCCCAGGGGGGCAGUGACUGUCCCAAUCUUCCAUCUUCCAUCUCUAAGUUUCUGUAUCAGACACAUGUGACUCUAACCCACAGAAGUUAUAGGUAUUGUCACAUACACACCUGAUGAUGUGCCUAGGAAAUUGGUUUUAGCACCAUCUCCACUGUGCAGGUUGGGAGACUGGGGAGGCCAUGAGAGGCACAAAUGGCUUUUCCAGGACUCAGAAUUGGUAGGAAAAAAGAGGUCUGAACUCAGCUGUGUCUCCUCAAAGCUAGGGCCCUGGUCCCAUUCCCAGAGCGCUGUGGGGAGGGCAGUGAUGGAUAUUUGUGUACAAUUAUGGAGAUGACAUGGGCAAGGGCGAUGAGCAGUCAACAGCCCAGAGGAGGCUUUGGGUGGGUCUGAUUGAAGGAAGGGGCCCAGAUAAUGGAACCUUGAGAAGUGGCCUCACUUCUUUGGUGACAGACCCCAACAGAACUUAGAACUUUGGUUACCAGGCACCCACAUUCUAGACACAGCCUCACAUCCAGCUCACUUGAAUGGAGGCACUCAAGAGAACAAGAUGUUUGCAUGUUGUGUCCCAACUUUCCGAAGCUCUGGCUUCUAGAAAUCUGACGAGAGCCUUUGUAGACAUUGAUUCAACUCUCACCUCUAACACCUCUGGCCUUUUGGCAGGAGGAACCCUCAGGCAACACAGGGCAACCCAGGGCAGGCCGCUCCAGGUCAGGUCACAACUGUGCUCCCACCUGGCCAGCCCCACACCCCUUGAUGCUCAAGGUGUGUGUGUGUGUUUGGGAGGUGCACUUAGGAAAGGUGGGGAUGAGGAGGGACACAUCCCGGGUAGGAGCAGGUAGUGAGAUGUUGGAAGUCUGGCAAUGGGUCAUCUUCAUACCCCACAUCUUGGCUGGCAGGGUAGGAAGUUGAGUGCUGGGGACCGAGCUCCUUUAUCCCUAUGUGAAUCCCAAGCCCACCAGGUGUCAUCACAUUCCAGCCCUGGCUGGAGGUCUAUGCAGGUGCCCCUCUGAGCCUGAUCUGUGGUGCGGGUUCCCCCUGGUGAGGUCCAGGCAGGCCCCUGAUCCCUCCUGGUCUUUCUCCCAGGCACUGUGUUUGCAGAGCUGCACCCACAAGAUGGUCACAUAGUUAGUGAAUGGUUUCGACUAUGCCGUCUCCCUGGACAGGGGGCGGGUGCUCCAGGCCACCAACAAUGACCCGGGCCGGGCUUAGUGCAGAGGGGUCUUCACACCCAGGACCCUGAGAUGACCGAGGCAGUACCAGAAUCCAGACCCAAAUCUGAGACUCCCCUGAGAUGCUCCCAGUGUUUUCUCACUAGAGUGUCCCACAGUCCCACUCCCAAAGGAAUCACGACCUCCCCUCCUCCCCACCAGCUACAUAGGCAGAAAGAAAGUAACCUCCAUCCUCCUAGUGGUUCACGGUGAUGCCACUGAUUUUUUGUGUGUCCCUCCUCCUUCCACCCAGAGUGAAGAUGACCCCUUUGUGAAUUUAAAUGAGGCCUGCAGGUGGCGGUCCCUCCAGCAGACCUGAUGGAGACUGACAAAGUCCAUGGCACCAGCUUUCCUAGGUAGAAACAUCUCAAAUGUCACCACCUUUGUGUUCAACUACUCGGCCUUCAACACAUCCCACCAGGUCCUGGACCAGCUGUUUACUGGGUGACUGCCCACUGCCAGCUGUAAUUCUUGUAAUGUCACUGCAUCUCCCUGAGCCUCACUUUGCUCCUCUGAAAAGUGGGGUGGGAGAGGAUAAACGUCAUGGGGUUCUUGGAGGGACUAAUGGGAUCAGCCAUGGCGGGUGCUGACCUGGUGCCUGGCUCUGCAGAUGUGGCUGUGGGGUGAGCUGUGGUUGUUCAUGGUUAUUAUUGGUUCUUCCUCAUGGAAAGUAGUCUGUCUCACCCGUCUCUGGGAUGUGGUCUUUCUGAGUUUGGCAAAGCACACGGACAGCACCCUGUCAAGGAGUUUGAGAUUCCAGAGAGAUGGUCCUGGUCCUUGUGCUUGGUGGGGCCAAUUAGGGAUGUCUGGGGAGCAGAGGGGCCCCAGGCCCACUCCGACAUCUGGGAUGCUUCUGGCUGGACUUCAUUCAUUCAACCAUGUAUGUGAAGCACCUACUAUGUGCAGGAUUUUUGGAGACACUUAGCAUAACUCAGUGAAUCCAGGUGUCCAACAGAUACAAUCCCUGCGUCUCAGUUGUAGUCUGAGAGUCAAAUAGUCACAUUAGACAUCAUUCGCAAGUCCUGUCAUCCAUCGCACAUCCCAAAUGGUGCUCUCGUCACCUCCUUUACAUCUGGAGGCAUCUUCCAUUAUCAAAACCAGGAGGGCAGACCACAGGAUGCCGGAAUAAAAUGAGUGGCCUCUGGGUCCAGAAGGAGGGCGCCCUGUCUCUACAGAACAGGGUUGGGGGAAAUGGGGGACUGUGGCUGGGGCCAGGCUGGCAAAACCCUGCAUCUCACACAUGUUUUGAUUCUCACUGGAAGGCUGAGGUCUGAUGGCUUCCAUUCCAGGAGGUCAGGAUUCAAAGACCUGUAGAUGGGUCCCAGGACCCCUGGGAACCAGAGUGGAGGCUGGGCUGGGCUGUCCCCUAGAGACCCAUCCCCACCAUAGUCCUAUCUUGAUCUGCCUCCCCUUCUCCACAUCCACUUCUUCGGACCACCCCCAGCAGGCCCAGAACAGGAGGUGUGUGAGCAACAUGGUCACACGUCUGCCUCAGUCCUCAGUCCAGUUGCAUAAAUGCAUGGAGGGCUGGGGUGGGCUUUGUCCAAGCCCUUCAGGAAGAGAGUGUCAGUGGGAAGAACAGACUCACACUGACUCUGUGUUCAACUUGCUGGUUGAGCAGUCCUGCCACCACCAGGACAGCCACACAGGGGCGGGACUGGGCCGGGGCUCUCCUCUGGAUGGGAAUGGGCGGGCACAGGGGCCCAGACCAAAUAAGGGCGCCUUCAGUGGGCAGUGUGGAGGGAAAGACCAGGCCUCUGACUCUGUUGCCCAAUGCCUUCCCCCAUUGCCGUCUCUUCGCAGAUGAAGCUGGCCCGUGUGCACGUGAGCUCGCCUACCUCAGAGCAGGAGGGCCACGCCUCCCUCCUCCCAGUCCAGCUGGAGUCCUCCAGAGCCCGUGGAGGCAGAGCUGGAAGGUGAGGGCCCUGCAGUGUGGGAAGACGAUUUGCAGGGGGUUCACGGGCUGGGUUCCCUUAAGGCAUUGGGGUCCUUCCUGUCUUUGGAAAGACUCAGGGGAGGUCAUCUACUUGAUGAUACUUUUUCUUUAUGCUGCUCCAGGACCAUCUCCAGAGCUCCCACCAGCUCCAGAGCCAGAGCAAGGGCCAGCUCCAUGGCCUGGGCCAACUCCAAUUCUAGUUCUACCACCUGUGCUAGAGCUGGAGCAAGUGUCACCUCCAUCAGUCCCCCCAGGGCCAGAGCCAUGCCAACAACAGCUCCAGCCCCAGUGCCAGAUCCAGCUGGAGCCCGCUGGACCCUUGUCUCCAGGGAGAACACUUCCUCCAUCUGGAGAGAUUACAUCAGAGCCCAUCCAGCCCAAGAGCCCACCUGCCCCCGGGCUGUGACCACCAAGAGCCUGCUGUGGGAGGAGAAGCCUGACUUCCUGGAGUUCCGUCCCCAGCUGAUUGCAGAGCAAUUUACACUGAUGGAUGCGGUGAGCAGCAGGGCUCUCAGGGCAGGUGGGGCGGGCCUUCCCUGUGCCAUCAGAGGCCCAAGACCUGCUGUUUCCUGAUCCAGAAUCCCAUGUCCUACAUUCAAUCCCAGCUUUCCCACUUACACACAUGUGCCCUGGGCAACCUCUUAACUCCCAAGCCUGUGCUGUCCGCAUGUGGACACUAGACAUGGACAAAAGAGCAUCUGCCAGGCAUAGCGGCUGUGCAGACGAAUGAGGCGGAACAGAGAGGAAGGUGGGCAGAGUCUGGCCCUUUGGCGGGGGAAGGGGAGGUCACUGAAGGGCUGUCAGGUCCUUGGGUGGGUCAUCCAUUUGCACAGGAGGCAUCAACAGCCUUAGCAAUUAUUAGGGACCUCAUAUGUAAUGACUACCUGGGAGACAAACAUACAAAGAUUGUGAUUGUUACUCCUUGGGAGGACUGCACAUCUGAAUGAGGAGUCGGGCCCCAGGGUGAUCAGAAAAGGUAGACGAUGCCCCUUGCGUUCGUCAAGUAUCAGCGGGGUUCUGGUGCCUGGAGUAGUGAGACUGGGCUGGGAGCGAAUGCCACUUUCCUUCCCCGCACUAUUGGUCCUGGGUCAUCCUGUGCUGGGUGCCCUCAGUGGGCACAGACAAAACCCAGGGACCCCCACAAGCCCCAGGCCACAUCCUCAGCUUCCUGAGCUCCAGCUCUGACCACUGACUCUGCCUGGGACUGUGGACUGUGGACAUGGAGCAGGCAUGUGACAGGGCUGGGUGACACUCUCUUCCUCCCCAGGAGCUGUUCAAGAAAGUGAUCCCCCCCACUGUCUGGACUCCGUCUGGUCCCCAUGGGACAGCAGGGGCAAUGAGCACCUGGCAUGCACCAUCCGUGCCACCAUCACCCAGUUUAUCACAGUGGUCAACUGUGUUGUCACCACCUGCCUGGGGGACCUGAGCAUGACAGCCCAGGACAGGGCCAGGGUGGUGGAGCUCUGGAUCCAGGUGUCCAAGGUACCUUCUGGGCGGCCCAGGGAGCCCCUCUCUGGAGUCAUGGAAACUGCCCCUUCUCCUUCCUCAGCUCUCAGGAUUGAAGUCUGUGCUCUGAGCCCUUGCACAGUCCCCAGGCCCCUCCUGCCGGGGCCUCACUGACCUUGACUCCUGUUCCCAGCGUGGGAAGCUCACUUCUUCCUGGGCUCCCUCCUUGGGUUGAGCUCAAAUUCUCCAACCUGGGAAUGCUACUCAUCAGGUCCCAGGGGUGCCCUCACUGGGUUCCUCAGCAUGCGUCUCAUCCAAGACAGGAGAUGUCCAUGAGGGAACAGAAGCCAGAGGCAGCAGGGCUCCAGCUCUCCUCACCAGCUCACUCUCUUCCCUGCCCCAGGAGUGCCAAGGCCUGAGGAACUUUGCUUCACUGCAUGCCAUCCUCUCUGCUCUGCAGAGCUGCACGAUCCAUCGGCUCAAAAAGACAUGGGGACACGUUUCCAGGUGGGUAGGCCUCUCUUCAUGUGAGCAUCACCUUGGAAGACCAGACACCCCCCAUAGUGCUGGCAUUGCCCCCUCAGUAAGCUGGCACCACCUGGGAGACAGCAAACCCUGGUGACAGAGACUCACCUGGCUGGCGGACUCUGAGUCUCUCUGGAAACUUAGGCCGGGGGCUUCUGCUUCAGGAAUCAGUGUCCCUGAACGUCAGGUCCUGGGUUGAGGCAAAUUGAAGAUUUUCAAGUAUUUGCUUUGCAGCAACAGAACUCUCCGUCCGGCUGAAACCACGACUGUUGAAAACACAUCUGCUGAGGAGUUACAGGAAUGGAGGCCCAGGUGACACCGGGAGAGCCCCCUCCCCAGUCCCGUGGAGACCCCAGGGCUCAGAGGACCCAGGGAAAACGCUCAUCCAGGAUGUUUGGAUAUUCUGGGUUUUCGAAGACACAGGAUUUACCCUUAAACCACUGCACAGGUUUUCAUUCCUUUUCCCCCCUCGGGAAGAGCUCUCAAAAAUUUUACAAAAUUGUGCACCAAGGACCAGCGGGUGAGCAGGAAGCUGCUCAUGGAGGAAGCCAGGCCCCUGCUGCUCCUUCUGUCUUUGCUGCACGUCCAAGGACAGGGCACCCUGCCAGCCCCUGAGGAAGCGACCUCUCUGUGGGAGACCCUGGAGAUGGAUCCCUGGAUAGCCCAGGAGAGGCAGCAGUGGCAGGGUGUCGUCCCCUUCCUGGGCUCACUCCUCGAUUACCUGCAGCUGCUGGACACUGAGAUGGAGGAUUAUCUGAAGGAGUGUGAGCAUGGAGAGGGGAACAGGGAAGAGGAUCCAGAGGUUUGGGAGGCGAGAGCCCUGCACUGGGCCCUGAGCUCUCAGCACUUGGCAAAGCUCCUCUCCUGAGAACCUCCUGGCAGCCCCUGGAGCUGGGGCCUCAGGCACAUCUUAGCAAUGUGAGACCCAAGGCUCUGCAUAAGCCCCCCUCCAGGCUCCCUGGGCUGGGGGAGCUCAGAGCUGCCUCACUACAGAGCUGCGGGAGGUGGUGUCAGAGCUGGACUCAGCCUCUCCCUCAAGCCCUGCCCCUGGGGGAGUGAAGUCAGCCCCUGCAAGUCAGGAAGCACAUCCGUGGUCCAGCUGUCCCUUCCUUUCUGAGGGCUCAGUCUCCCUGUCUGUCAUCAGAGAGGUUGGAGCUACAGAGUCUGUGGCCUCAGUGACCCUGCCCCCCCUGCGCUGGAGCCCAGAGCCUGGCCCAGGUUCAGGCUCUCCUUGAGGCAGUGUCUGCCCUCUGCUGGGUCCUGGCAGUCCUGCAACUUGGGAAGGGGUGGGCUGGGGGCUAGUCAUGGGCCAAGGGGGCUGUUUCUGAUGGACAUUGGCUGUCUGCCUUCGAGGGAAAUAUGGUGAACUUCCAGAAAUGGAGUGAGGUGAGCAGCCGUGCCCUCGAUGUGGGGAGGGUGGGGCUGUGGAAAUCAGAGACCUCCCCUGCAAGACUUUCUCUGGCCUCAUCCCUUGGGUCUUAUCUUUAUUGCGAGAGUUAGAUACAGGCAGCUGGGGAUCCCAUCACAUUGGUGGGUGGGAGGAGGGGCUGACAUCGAGGACACCUUCCUGGAUGAGGAACUAUUUCAACCCUACUGUGAGAACAGGCAAGUCCUGAAUGGAGUGGGAGGGAAGGAGGGUUCCCAAUGAGCAAAGACCCCAGAGCAGCUCCUCACUACCCACAAGUUCCUGGCUGGGUUCCCCCCAGGCCCUGUCUGCAUCCUGUCCUUCCUCCCAGAAAUUCCAGGUCAUUAAAAGGAUCCAGCUGCUCCAGGAGGCUGCCAAUGAAUGCCACCUGCAGCCCGAGGAGCACUUUGGGGCCUGGUUCCAGGCCAUGGAGCCCCUCCAUGAGGAAGAGAGCUACAGCCUGUCCUGCCAGCUGGAGCCCCCAAACAUGAAGGUGAGCAAAAUGCGAGGCUUCUUCAGGACCAAGAAGAACCGGCCAUCCUCAAGAUUGGGGCUGACUGCCAUGCCCUUGGCAAGGAGCCAUCACACUCUAGAUGCCACCACAAGCUCAGCCUCUUCAGGCGCAGGGACAUGGCUGGGACCCUCGUGGUGCACCAGGCCAGCUCUUCCCACCCGGAUGUGAAGGAGGACAUUCCUGGGAGUUGUGGUGUGGUUCAACUCCUGUGCUCAUAUAAAUGAGACACAGAACUUCACCUUCCUCCUUGAAUUAAGAACUGGUGCACGGUCACAGCUCAUUGUAUGUGGGACAAGGGAGGAAGGCCAGCCCCCUCCCUGGCAAGUUAAGGACCACCCAAGUCUCCCUUCCUUAGAGGACAGGUUCGUUUCAGUGUGGUUCCCCUGGGCCAGGAGUGGAGACAGCCCCUCAGAUCCCCCUGGAUUUAGAGGCCGGAGGGACUUUCCCAGCAGAGCAACCAGCACAGAAAUGUGGGUCUUUCAGAUGGCACUUGCCAGGACCAUGUCCUGCCCCGGGACAGUGGCUGCCUUUCUACAGCUUUUGAAGAAGGAAUGUUUUCUGCUUCUCUUGUGGAGCUUUCUUUUGAUCAAGUUUUGGAACGUGUAGUUUUCUAAUGAAUCUCUGGAAUUGCACUAACAGUAAAUGGGGAAAAAAUGUAAACAGAUAACUCUUUGCAUGUGGAAAGGACAAGGCCAGAGGAAGACCAUUUGCAGACGGACUAAGGGCAGGCAGGACAUCCCUCUGCAGGCCGCCUCUAGGGGCUCCCUGUUCACCCUUUACCUGGAUUGGACUCCUCCCGGGAUCCUGGUCCAUGAACUUGCAGGUCCUUUUCCUGCUUGUUUCCUAUCCAGAGGGAAAGAUUUGUGAUGCAGCUUUUAAAGCUACAACAGGGCUUUGUUGCAUAAGCGUCACUGCUCCCUGUGAACUAGAUUUCCAGCAUCCCUGCACUUCCUUCUACAAUUCUUUUUGGGCAGAAAUUCCCUAAGGCCCCAGCCUCUCUGUCAGGAACAUCGUGGCCAUUCCUACCUAGCCAGGCCUGAUGGAUCAGCCGUGAGCUCUGGUUUGCCCAGGAUAACGGACCUUAAUCCUGGGCAGUGCAUGACCCACACUCUCCCUUGCUGCCCAGGGUCCCAUGUGGUUCUGAGGUUCAUGCUCUCGGACAAACAAUAGUUUACACGCUCAGUCUUAUUGUUACCAGCUUGACCUAAAGGGUCAUCUGGGCUCAAUCCUAUAGAGCUUCUAGCCCCCAGGAUGGCUGUGUUCUUUUCCCCAGUCUUGUGCUGUGGUUAUGUGGUUAUGUGUUAUGGGGAUGUGAAACUUUCCUGUUGGGAGUUUUGAAAGAUAAGGCAUGAGAGGUGCCAGUAUAGAGAUGGGUCUAGCAGGGGAAUGCCACCAAACUGAUGAACAUGGGCCUACACACAACAACCUUACCAAUUCAAAUACUGAAACGCUUCCCAUCUGGGUAGUGAAGAUAUGAGCUCACCCUGAGAACCCGCCUCAUGACCAGGAGCUACAGGGUUAUCACCUGGCAUUUUGAACGUCAUCCCCUGAAACACUGUAAGACAAGGGCCACAUGAAUUCCUUGGUAGUUCUUCCUCCUCCUCGCUGAAGGCUGCAAGUGUCACCCUGGGAGGCCCUUUCAGUUCAGCCACAAGCCGAGUAUAAAUCCCGCUUCCGGCAGCCCAGGCCCUUCCUGACAGGGCACAGCCAUCCAGGAAAGAAAUAAUUCACAUAUUGGUGUAGACACAUAAACACACACACGCAUAUCCCACCCAAAGCCCAAGAUGCAUGAACUUCAGAGAUGAAAAGUGACUUCAGAAACAGAUCAACCAAUUGCAAACGAAGGGUUUCAUUAAGAUCCUGACUCAAAUAAAAUGUAAAACCAAGAAACAACCUGGAGAAAACUGGGAGACUUUGGAGGCUGACUAGGUAGUUGAUUAUAGGAGUGACAUUUUUACUUUUGUGUGUGAUAACUUUGUUGUGUUUGAGUCCCAAAAAUCUCUCAUCUGUAAGAGAAACUGAUAUAUUUACACCUGAAAUGAUGUGCUCUCGGCAUCUACAGCUGGCUAAUUCCAGGGGGUGGGUGUAAAGAUAAAGCCAGAUGGUUUAUGAGUUGACAAUCUCUGAUGCAAGUGACAGGUUCACAGAGGUUGAUUUUCCCUACUCUGAGAUUUGGAGAUUUUUGAAAACUUUCAGAAGACAAGUUUCAUAAAAAUAGUAUAAUCACUGUUCACAUUACAAUGUUAAAAAUGAAAACAUUGCAAAUAUGAAGAAAUGCUUCUUCUUCCCGACCUGGGGAAGCUCUGUCUGUCUGGCUUCUGUGAAUGACCUGAUGAUGCCACUGAUUAUUCAUUUAUCUCAUGUUUAUUGAAUAAGUACUAUGUGCUCUGUACUGCGAGCAAGGUGAAUGCAUUUCCACAUCUCCAGAUCUAGUGUGGGAAUGAAGGCACUGAGCCGGCUGCCAAGAUUCUCUACGUGGAAAAUAAUGCCCCACGGGGCAUGGUCAUUGUUAAGAUUCCAAAAUCAAAGCUAGACAAGUUUGCCAUGGAACAAAUCAGAGGUACUUAAUUUAUGAUAUAGAAAUUACCUAUGUCUGAAUUAACAUGUGACAAAGGCUGAAGGAUUUUGUUAAAAUUAGAUGCAAAAUCAUAAUUUAUGAAAUCAGAUUUCAUAUCACAUUAAGAGAUAAAUCUCAUUGAGUAGGUAUUAUCUGUUCAUUGAGUGUAGAAAAAACAAAUGUAAGUUCAAAACACUAAUUCCUCAGCCUCAAUUAUCCUAUUGAUUUUAAUAUAAACAGGAAGAAAAAUCAUGGUAAAUAAAAAUCGAGGUUACCCAUGAAAGGUAAGGAUCAUGAUGGAUGUUACAAAGAGAUGCUGUGGGGGUCAAGGCUGUCUCCUGGUGGAUUUCUCACUGCACCACUCUCCUUUCCUUCAGCACCAAUAUCGCUUUCCUCACGGUGUUUUCAGGUGCCUUUCUUGGCUCUUGCUCUCUCUGCCUCCCUGGCAAACUCCUCUGUUCUCAAGCCAACAGUCAGUCUUUCCCAUGCUUUUCUUCACUUGCAACAUCUGUCUCCUAAUAUCUCCAGAAGUUGCCUGUUGCCUGUUGCCUGCAGAGGGGCUGGGAGAGACCCAGACCCGUUCCUGGACUCAUCUCUGCCCAAUACGGACACUGGUCAGGAGUGGGCUAGGGUUGGUGUGCAGAUCCCUCAGCUCAAGCCAUGGCCCAGGGAUUCACCUAGACCACCUGGUGCAAUUAUCUUUAAGAUAUUUGUGAAUCAGAAGGACUUAAAAGUUCUCCUUCGCUGCUGCCAGCCUUGAGGCCCUGCAGUCUCUCCUCUCCACAGACUCACCGGGGCUUCUCCAAGGUCUCCUCCCACUGACGGCCCCUGACCUCACGGCCAGGAUGGGAAGUUAUCCGACUACCUGGCCUCUGGAAUAUGCAGCUGCUCAGCCUUCAGUGUGUACAGAGCUGCAGGUUUCUGCUUGGUUUUAGUUUUGUUGUCUCAUUGUUUCCACCAUGAAAUUGGGGCAUAUUUUUUGAACUUUCUCUUUAAAAAUAAAAUGUGAAAUUUGAACAAAAUGGGGGAUGAAGACUACCAUCCAUGGAGAAUGUUCUCAGCUCAUUUGGCUAUUCCACCCUCCUUCCCUCCCUGGAGAAUGUGUCUCAAAUGUGAAUCACAACCAUCUGGAGGGUUUUUAAAACUCAGAUUGCUGGACCUCAACUCAAGUCAAUCUGGGGUGGGAAUGGAGAAUGUUCAUUUCUAAGAUGUUCCCAGGUGACAUUGAUGCUGCUAGUAUAGGUACCACAUGUUGAGAAUGGGAUUCUGGGACAUCAUCAAGCCCAUGUGAGACAAGGACAGAAAGUUCAAGGUCAUUAUCCAAUGUCAAAUCCAGACAAACCUCCCUCCUCCAUCUUGCUUCAGGAUGUUACUCUCUCCCCUUCUCCGUCAUUGUCAACUACACACAUUCUGGUACCAAGUAACCCACUAUCAUUAGGACUCAGUGAUCCAAGGGCCCCGUAGCUCCUUUUAGAGUGCCAUCUCUAAUGAAAUCACGCACUAUUCCACCCUUAGACACCCUCACUCCACAGCAAAAUCCUGUCUUAACCCCAAAUUCUCCUGCUCACAAAUCAGGAACUCAAACAGCACAUUCCUACCACAAAUUUCCACAGUUCCUGUUUUUACACAAAGAACCCUAAUGUAAAUAACCAACCUUCAAGAAAACAGUUUACUCCAGUAUGAAUAUCUUCACAAGGCUCUCUUCUUUCUCUCUUCCUAUUCCUUUCUUUCAAUCUUGGUUUCUGUGGUCCAUCAUUUCAAUCAUCCACUGACCAUGCUCCCAGAUUCAUCACUCCCAUCACAUUGGCCCUGUAAGCCUCUGACUUUGGAUAAUUUCAAAUACCUGCCAUGCCACGUUGACACCUGCACUGAGGAUCACCAGCGAAGAGAGAGCACACGAGGAGUCUGUGG